rnacentral:rRNA from 1 species
AGGGUUUUGAUCCUGGCUCAGAUUGAACGCUGGCGGCAUGGUUAAGACAUGCAAGUCGAACGAUUAAAGCCCCUUCGGGGGUAUAUAAAGUGGCGAAAGGGCGAGGAAUAAUUUUCUACGUACCCCGAGGUUGAGGAUAGCCCAGGGAAACCUGGAGUAAUACUCGAUGUGGUCUCCGGAUCAAAGGCUUCGGCCGCCUCGGGAGCGGGGAACUUCCUAUCAGGUUGUUGGUGAGGUAACGGCUCACCAAGCCUACGACGGGUAGCGGGUGUGAGAGCAUGACCCGCCGCAUCGGGACUGAGACACUGCCCGGACUCCUACGGGAGGCUGCAGUAACGAAUCUUCCGCAAUGCGCGAAAGCGUGACGGAGCAAUGCCGCGUGCAGGAUGAAGCCUUUCGGGGUGUAAACUGCUGUCAGGGUUUAGCAACACAAUGAGCAGACCCAAAGGAAGGGCCGGCUAACUUCGUGCCAGCAGCCGCGGUAAUACGAAGGGCCCGAGCGUUAAUCGGAAUUAUUGGGCUUAAAGCGUACGUAGGCGGACACGCAGGCGCCUUGUGAAAUCCCUCGGCUCAACCGAGGAACUGCCAGACGAACCGCGUGUCUUGAGACAAGUAGAGGCGGUCGGAACGCUAGGUGGAGUGGUGAAAUGCGUUGAUAUCUAGCGGAACGCCGAAGGUGAAGACAGGCCGCUGGGCUUGUUCUGACGCUGAGGUACGAAAGCGUGGGGAGCGAACGGGAUUUAGAUACCCCGGUAGGUCCACGCCGCAACGAUGUGCACUAGAUCGAGGGG